GCCCUGGUAGCUCAAUUGGCUAGAGCGUCGGACUUUUAAUAGAUCCUGAUCUAUGAUUAAAAGGCAUCCGAAGGCUGCGGGUUCGACCCCCGCCUGGGGCG